rnacentral:rRNA from 1 species
GAGUUUGAUCCUGGCUCAGGACGAACGCUGGCGGCGUGCCUAAUACAUGCAAGUCGAACGAACUCUGGUAUUGAUUGGUGCUUGCAUCAUGAUUUACAUUUGAGUGAGUGGCGAACUGGUGAGUAACACGUGGGAAACCUGCCCAGAAGCGGGGGAUAACACCUGGAAACAGAUGCUAAUACCGCAUAACAACUUGGACCGCAUGGUCCGAGUUUGAAAGAUGGCUUCGGCUAUCACUUUUGGAUGGUCCCGCGGCGUAUUAGCUAGAUGGUGAGGUAACGGCUCACCAUGGCAAUGAUACGUAGCCGACCUGAGAGGGUAAUCGGCCACAUUGGGACUGAGACACGGCCCAAACUCCUACGGGAGGCAGCAGUAGGGAAUCUUCCACAAUGGACGAAAGUCUGAUGGAGCAACGCCGCGUGAGUGAAGAAGGGUUUCGGCUCGUAAAACUCUGUUGUUAAAGAAGAACAUAUCUGAGAGUAACUGUUCAGGUAUUGACGGUAUUUAACCAGAAAGUCACGGCUAACUACGUGCCAGCAGCCGCGGUAAUACGUAGGUGGCAAGCGUUGUCCGGAUUUAUUGGGCGUAAAGCGAGCGCAGGCGGUUUUUUAAGUCUGAUGUGAAAGCCUUCGGCUCAACCGAAGAAGUGCAUCGGAAACUGGGAAACUUGAGUGCAGAAGAGGACAGUGGAACUCCAUGUGUAGCGGUGAAAUGCGUAGAUAUAUGGAAGAACACCAGUGGCGAAGGCGGCUGUCUGGUCUGUAACUGACGCUGAGGCUCGAAAGUAUGGGUAGCAAACAGGAUUAGAUACCCUGGUAGUCCAUACCGUAAACGAUGAAUGCUAAGUGUUGGAGGGUUUCCGCCCUUCAGUGCUGCAGCUAACGCAUUAAGCAUUCCGCCUGGGGAGUACGGCCGCAAGGCUGAAACUCAAAGGAAUUGACGGGGGCCCGCACAAGCGGUGGAGCAUGUGGUUUAAUUCGAAGCUACGCGAAGAACCUUACCAGGUCUUGACAUACUAUGCAAAUCUAAGAGAUUAGACGUUCCCUUCGGGGACAUGGAUACAGGCGGUGCAUGGUUGUCGUCAGCUCGUGUCGUGAGAUGUUGGGUUAAGUCCCGCAACGAGCGCAACCCUUAUUAUCAGUUGCCAGCAUUAAGUUGGGCACUCUGGUGAGACUGCCGGUGACAAACCGGAGGAAGGUGGGGAUGACGUCAAAUCAUCAUGCCCCUUAUGACCUGGGCUACACACGUGCUACAAUGGAUGGUACAACGAGUUGCGAACUCGCGAGAGUAAGCUAAUCUCUUAAAGCCAUUCUCAGUUCGGAUUGUAGGCUGCAACUCGCCUACAUGAAGUCGGAAUCGCUAGUAAUCGCGGAUCAGCAUGCCGCGGUGAAUACGUUCCCGGGCCUUGUACACACCGCCCGUCACACCAUGAGAGUUUGUAACACCCAAAGUCGGUGGGGUAACCUUUUAGGAACCAGCCGCCUAAGGUGGGACAGAUGAUUAGGGUGAAGUCGUAACAAGGUAGCCGUAG